rnacentral:rRNA from 1 species
AGAUUGAACGCUAGCGGGAUGCUUUGCACAUGCAAGUCGAACGGCAGCGCGGACUUCGGUCUGGCGGCGAGUGGCGAACGGGUGAGUAAUAUAUCGGAACGUGCCCAGUAGCGGGGGAUAACUACGCGAAAGCGUGGCUAAUACCGCAUACGCCCUACGGGGGAAAGGGGGGGAUUCUUCGGAACCUCUCACUAUUGGAGCGGCCGAUAUCAGAUUAGCUAGUUGGUGAGGUAAAGGCUCACCAAUGCGACGAUCUGUAGCUGGUUUGAGAGGACGACCAGCCACACUGGGACUGAGACACGGCCCAGACUCCUACGGGAGCAGCAGUGGGAAUUUGGACAAUGGGGGAAACCCUGAAUCCAGCCAUCCCGCGUGCGCGAUGGAAGGCCUUCGGGUUAGUAAAGUCGACGUUUUGGCAACGGAAGAAACGCG